UCCUCUCUCCCCUCUCAUCUCAUCUUCUUGCGCCACUGCAGGCACAUAAGCAUAAGGGACGCCGCUGCAGGGACCAUGGGGGUGGGCGAAGGUCCGCCAUCGUGGGCCUGCUCGUCCACCGACAUUGGGACACCGGUGAUCAUUCGUGGGUGCUUGGCCGGGCGUGUGGUGCAUGCCAGAAGAAUUGUGGUGUGCGCGGGUUCGUAGUACCCUUGGAGUUCGUCGCCGGUAAUCGGGCGUAUUCCACCAUCCACACCUUCCCGCGGCUGGCUAUAUCCCCGCCGUUUCUGUCUGAAAGGUACCCCGUCAUGUGUCCGCAUUCUCCUCCUCUACAUGUAGCUCGUUUGGCACUCGAGUAGUUUGCACGGAGUUCGAAUUUGGGGAAUUCCGGUGAUAGCUCCGCCGUUGGCAGGGACGUUAGGCUGUACGACCAUGAUGAAAUCCCAUUGUUGUUGUUCCCGUUUAUAUCUACCUCAUGUAGCACGUGUUAGAAGGAGUGGUUGAGCGCCAGAACACCAGUUCAGUGAUCGCCGGUGGGGGGGGGGGGCUCCACCGGAUAGAGCGCGGCGCCGCCGCCUGGCGUCGUUGGGAGGAAGAAAUGCGUGCGUCGCAGAUCCACGAAGGAACGGUGGAGAUUAGAUCGUCACCUACCCCUUUCACGCAACCAACCACGACCGUUGAUUGGAGAUUGUGCGGACAGGAUCAGAUCUCGGUGUUUUAUAUCGGGUGCGUUGAUGCAGGAUCCAAUGGUAGCGAUUGAGUACCGGUUCAGAUGGAUUAGAUCUAAUUUGAUCCGUUGGAUCUAGAUCAGAGGGUAUGCGUAGCGUACCGAUUCAGUGUGGUGGCCGAUCUAAUCUGGGUCGUCCAGUGAGGAUCCGAUGACCAGAUUUCUUGCGUACCCCUUCGCAGGUACAUCUUACUAAAGAGCCCCUGAUGAAUUAGGCAAUAAAUCCGCAGUACCCCUCACUGUGUUCUGAGUCUGUGGGGUUUUGCAGAUUAAACCCCCGACUCUCUGGAUUUUGAUGCGUGGCCCGAGAAUAAGGAAACCAGAUAAAUAAUAUCAGAAAUUGAUUUUCAACACAAAAAUAAUUAAAGAAACUUGUAAAAUUUAUAUAAAAUUCAUUUUAGCUCCUUCCAGUUCCUAUAAUUUUUUAAUAUUAUUGUUUAUCAGUUAGUACCACUGUUUUGACAUGAAAGUCACAUUAAAAUUUAUAUCCCAUUUAAUCUUGUACAAAACACAUGGAAUCUUUAGAAAUUCAUAAAUUAAAAUCUAUAACUCCGAUUUUAGUUGUUCUCGAACCCGCGAUCUCGUAUCUUCGCGUAUAUCAUUUUUAUUUAGUUUGUACUUAUGUUUGGUGUGAUGUUAAUUUUAUCUAUACCAUGUUUGUUUGUAUUGCUACGACUAGCAGUGAGGUCACGAGGAUCUGAAGAAUCAUCCUGAUACCUAGAAUCUCAAGUGCCAGGCAAGUUGUGCCCUUGAUCACUUCUUUUUACCCAGUCAUGUUCUGAUUAAUCAUAAUGAUCUGCAUAGGUUAAUUUUGAUGGGACCCAACAGGUUACCCUAGUUUGACUAUCUUUAUACCUUGUUUACCACUGAAUUCUUGGGUAGUACCUGCUAUUGCUUUAUGUGGUUUUGGGUAUAGAGCUACAUAUUAUUCAUGAUUAUAUUUUGUUAUCAGUUGUUAUUUACUGUUAAUGUUAAGAUUAUUAUGUUAAUUGGAACAUAAAGAACCACACGGGAAAACAGUGCUACCACAAGGGUGGUAUGGGACACCCUUGGCUGACUAAUUAGGAAAGCUAGUGGAGGACUACCUUACCCGAAAGGGGCAAGGGCAGUAGGGGAGUGGUCAGUGUAGGGAGGUCCUUGGGUUGAUUUUGCUGCGAUGGUGGUCAGGCGAGGGAUCCCUGCAUUGGAGCUUCCUAGAAACUAUAGCGGGUUUUCUGAAGCUAGUGGAACUUUGUAAAGGCCUCGUAGUGUUACUCUGCCUUGCCUCCUCGGUAGAGGUGUAUGGGAGUGGUCUUCUCUUCGCAGAUGGGUAACAUGACUUGUGGGUAACGAUGCACAACCUCUGCAGAGUGUAAAACCGGUAUACUAGUCGUGCUUACGGUCAUGAGCAGCUCAAACACUCACAUGAUUAAUUUAUGGAACUAAAUGCAAUUUUUCAUAUGCAUUGCAUCACAGGUGAUGUUGUUACUUUUAUUCUACUACUUAAUUGGGUUGGUAUUUACUUAUACUUAGUAACUGCAAAUAAAAUUUUGACCAAAUUUAAAAGCAAUGCUCAACUCUAACCACCCUCUUUGGUAAGCCUUACACUUAACAUGAGCUUCCACCUUUGGCGAGUUCAUGCACAUUAUUCCCCACAACUUGUUGAGCUAUGAACGUAUGUGAGCUCACUCUUGCUGUCUCACACCCCCCACAGCGCAUGGAGGAUGCUGUGACGAGUUCGUGAGAGGUCUAGGCCGUCGUCUCCCAGUCAACUUUGGGUUGCUGGACCGUUGUCUCCUUAUAAUGUAAUUUAUUUAUUUAUUUUGUACAGAACUCAUAUUAUAUAGUAAAGAUGUGACAUUCGAUCCUGUGUCAUGAUUCAUCAUAUGUGUGAGACUCGGUCCCAGCACACCUGGUGAUUAUGUUCGCGCCCGGGUCUUGGUGCCCCUUAAAUCCGGGUGUGACACACGACUUGUGGGUAAAGAUGCGCAACCUCUGUAGAGUGUAAAACUGGUAUAUCAGUUGUGCUCACGGUCAUGAGCAGCUCGGACCCUCACAUGAUUAAUUUAUGGAACUAAAUUCAAUUUGUCAUAUGCAUUGCAUUGAGGGUGUUGUUAUCAAUUUUGUUCUACUACUUAAAUGGGUUUGUAUUUACUUAUACUUAGUAAUUGCUAAUAAAAUUUUGACCAACUUUAAAAGCAUUCCUCAGCUUCAACCGUCCUCUUUGGUAAGUCUUAAACUUCACAUGAGCUUCCACCUUUGGCGAGUUCAUGCACAUUAUUCCCCGCAACUUGUUGAGCGAUGAACGUAUGUGAGCUCACUCUUACUAUCUCACACCCCCACAGGUCAAGAAUAGGUACCGCAGGAUGAGGCGUAUGGAGGAUGCUGUGAUGAGUUCGUGAGAGGUCUAGGCCGUCGUCUCCCAGUAAACUUUGGGUUGUUGGAUCGUUGUCUCCUUAUGAUGUAAUUAUUUAUUUAUUUUGUACAGAACUCCUAUUAUAUAGUAAAUAUGUGACAUUUGUUUCUGUAC
rnacentral:lncRNA from 1 species